rnacentral:rRNA from 1 species
GAGGAAUAUUGGUCAAUGGACGAGAGUCUGAACCAGCCAAGUAGCGUGAAGGAUGACUGCCCUAUGGGUUGUAAACUUCUUUUAUACGGGAAUAAAGUGAGGCACGUGUGCCUUUUUGUAUGUACCGUAUGAAUAAGGAUCGGCUAACUCCGUGCCAGCAGCCGCGGUAAUACGGAGGAUCCGAGCGUUAUCCGGAUUUAUUGGGUUUAAAGGGAGCGUAGGCGGACGCUUAAGUCAGUUGUGAAAGUUUGCGGCUCAACCGUAAAAUUGCAGUUGAUACUGGGUGUCUUGAGUACAGUAGAGGCAGGCGGAAUUCGUGGUGUAGCGGUGAAAUGCUUAGAUAUCACGAAGAACUCCGAUUGCGAAGGCAGCUUGCUGGACUGUAACUGACGCUGAUGCUCGAAAGUGUGGGUAUCAAACAGGAUUAGAUACCCUGGUAGUCCACACAGUAAACGAUGAAUACUCGCUGUUUGCGAUAUACAGUAAGCGGCCAAGCGAAAGCGUUAAGUAUUCCACCUGGGGAGUACGCCGGCAACGGUGAAACUCAAAGGAAUUGACGGGGGCCCGCACAAGCGGAGGAACAUGUGGUUUAAUUCGAUGAUACGCGAGGAACCUUACCCGGGCUUGAAUUGCAACUGAAUGAUGUGUAGACAUGUCAGCCGCAAGGCAGUUGUGAAGGUGCUGCAUGGUUGUCGUCAGCUCGUGCCGUGAGGUGUCGGCUUAAGUGCCAUAACGAGCGCAACCCUUAUCGAUAGUUACCAUCAGGUUAUGCUGGGGACUCUGUCGAGACUGCCGUCGUAAGAUGUGAGGAAGGUGGGGAUGACGUCAAAUCAGCACGGCCCUUACGUCCGGGGCUACACACGUGUUACAAUGGGGGGUACAGAAGGCAGCUACACGGCGACGUGAUGCUAAUCCCGAAAGCCUCUCUCAGUUCGGAUUGGAGUCUGCAACCCGACUCCAUGAAGCUGGAUUCGCUAGUAAUCGCGCAUCAGCCACGGCGCGGUGAAUACGUUCCCG